CGCCAGGUUUACGCUAGUUGGAAUAAAAGCGAGGGAUGAAGAGGAGAUCCACUCCACCCCACCGUUUCUACGCGUCUUCUCUUCUCGGAUGAAGAGGAGAUCUGCGCCAGGUUUACGCUACGCUAGUUGGAGGAAAAGCGAGGGAUGAUCGGAUCAUCCAUCCACCCCACCGUUUCUACGCGUCUUCUCUUCUCUUCUCUUCUCGGUCGGCCUACCGGAGGAGCUCUCUCUGCGCCAGAUCGACGCAGUUGAGAGGAAAAGUGAAAUCCACCCGAUCGUUCCUUCUUUCUAGAUUAUCCUCUGGUUCGCAUAUGGUCGGAUAAAAAUUUCAUCUCCAACAACUUUCUCUGUUUUGACUGGUUGAAGUCGAUGAUGAUGAUGCUCCUUUGCGUUCUUCCUCGAUUUUGUUGACAGGCAGAGAUGUUUUCAAGGUUGUUUAUUCGCUCGCCCAGUUUCUGAAUGCUUUCAUCGAUGG